UACGUAGGGGGCAAGCGUUGUUCGGAUUUAUUGGGCGUAAAGGGCAUGUAGGCGGUUGUAUAAGUGUGGAUUUAAAGACGUAGGCUUAACCUACUGUAUGGUCUGCAAACUGUAUAACUAGAGUUCAGAAGGGGAAACUGGAAUUCCACGUGUAGGGGUGAAAUCUGUAGGGAUGUGGAAGAAUACCUGUGGCGAAGGCGAGCUUCUGGUCUGAUACUGACGCUGAAAUGCGAAAGUGCGGGGAGCAAACAGG
rnacentral:rRNA from 1 species